GAGGGAAUAAGACCACUUCUAUUGCAAGUAAUAAGGAAUCCAGUGGAGUUAUUGCCUUUGAAUGCAUUCAGAAGUGAGCUUCAAGACAUUUGAGAAGGGUCUCCACCACUAGAGGAGGAAUUCCUUGCCACGUGUCUGGAUUUGUUGCAG